rnacentral:rRNA from 1 species
CAGUCGCCGCGGGAAUACGUAGGUGGCAAGCGUUGUCCGGAAUUAUUGGGCGUAAAGGGCUCGCAGGCGGUUUCUUAAGUCUGAUGUGAAAGCCCCCGGCUCAACCGGGGAGGGUCAUUGGAAACUGGGAAACUUGAGUGCAGAAGAGGAGAGUGGAAUUCCACGUGUAGCGGUGAAAUGCGUAGAGAUGUGGAGGAACACCAGUGGCGAAGGCGACUCUCUGGUCUGUAACUGACGCUGAGGAGCGAAAGCGUGGGGAGCGAACAGGAUUAGAUACCCCAGUAGUCCCUGUCUCUUAUAU